rnacentral:rRNA from 1 species
UUGUCUCAAAGAUUAAGCCAUGCAUGUCUCAGUACAAGCCGAAUUAAGGUGAAACCGCGAAAGGCUCAUUAAAUCAGUUAUGGUUCCUUAGAUCGUACCCACAUUUACUUGGAUAACUGUGGUAAUUCUAGAGCUAAUACAUGCAAACAGAGCUCCAACCGGAAACGGAAGGAGCGCUUUUAUUAGAUCAAAACCGAUCGGUGGCGGUUUCCGUCAUCGUACAACUUGGUGACUCUGAAUAACUUUACGCUGAUCGCACGGUCUCGCACCGGCGACGCAUCUUUCAAAUGUCUGCCUUAUCAACUGUCGAUGGUAGGUUCUGCGCCUACCAUGGUUGUAACGGGUAACGGGGAAUCAGGGUUCGAUUCCGGAGAGGGAGCCUGAGAAACGGCUACCACAUCCAAGGAAGGCAGCAGGCGCGCAAAUUACCCACUCCCGGCACGGGGAGGUAGUGACGAAAAAUAACGAUACGGGACUCAUCCGAGGCCCCGUAAUCGGAAUGAGUACACUCUAAACCCUUUAACGAGGAUCAAUUGGAGGGCAAGUCUGGUGCCAGCAGCCGCGGUAAUUCCAGCUCCAAUAGCGUAUAUUAAAGUUGUUGCGGUUAAAAAGCUCGUAGUCGAAUCUGUGUCCCGCGCCGCCGGUUCAUCGUUCGCGGUGUCAACUGGCGUGUCGCGGGACGUCCUGCCGGUGGGCUUAGCUCGAGAGGGCGGCCCAACUCAAUCCCGCCGCGGUGCUCUUCAUUGAGUGUCGAGGUGGGCCGGCACGUUUACUUUGAACAAAUUAGAGUGCUUAAAGCAGGCUAAAACUUCGCCUGAAUACUGUGUGCAUGGAAUAAUGGAAUAGGACCUCGGUUCUAUUUUGUUGGUUUUCGGAACCCCGAGGUAAUGAUUAAUAGGAACGGAUGGGGGCAUUCGUAUUGCGACGUUAGAGGUGAAAUUCUUGGAUCGUCGCAAGACGGACAGAAGCGAAAGCAUUUGCCAAAAACGCUUUCAUUGAUCAAGAACGAAAGUUAGAGGUUCGAAGGCGAUCAGAUACCGCCCUAGUUCUAACCAUAAACGAUGCCAGCUAGCGAUCCGCCGACGUUCUUCCGAUGACUCGGCGGGCAGCUUCCGGGAAACCAAAGCUUUUGGGUUCCGGGGGAAGUAUGGUUGCAAAGCUGAAACUUAAAGGAAUUGACGGAAGGGCACCACCAGGAGUGGAGCCUGCGGCUUAAUU